rnacentral:rRNA from 1 species
AUUGAACGCUGGCGGCAUGCCUUACACAUGCAAGUCGAACGGCAGCACGGGAGCAAUCCUGGUGGCGAGUGGCGAACGGGUGAGUAAUAUAUCGGAACGUGCCCAGUCGUGGGGGAUAACGCAGCGAAAGCUGUGCUAAUACCGCAUACGAUCUAUGGAUGAAAGCGGGGGAUCGCAAGACCUCGCGCGAUUGGAGCGGCCGAUAUCAGAUUAGCUAGUUGGUGAGGUAAAGUCUCACCAAGGCGACGAUCUGUAGAUGGUCUGAGAGGACGACCAGCCACACUGGAACUGAGACACGGUCCAGACUCCUACGGGAGGCAGCAGUGGGGAAUUUUGGACAAUGGGCGAAAGCCUGAUCCAGCAAUGCCGCGUGCAGGAUGAAGGCCUUCGGGUUGUAAACUGCUUUUGUACGGAACGAAACGGUGAGCUCUAAUACAGUUUGCUAAUGACGGUACCGUAAGAAUAAGCACCGGCUAACUACGUGCCAGCAGCCGCCGCCG